CUGGCAGUCAUUCCACUGUCCGAGUUGUAAAUUGAAGAGAAUGUCAUCCACACUGGACCAUGUCUAAAUUGUAAUAAUCCACAGUCCUUUGAUGGAGUAUCAGAGAGGGUAAUAAUCCCGUCUUUAAUGGUGGACCACCAGUGUUACGUAAGAUGCACUCUCUCAGAGUCGAGUAAUUUGGGAAUGCUGCUCUAAUGGGAGGUAAACUCCUUCUAAAGCUAAAUAUUGGCGAGAGACCGAUAGCGACAAAGUACCGUGAGGGAAAGAUGAAAAGAACUCUGAAAAGAGAGUCAAACAGAACGUGAAAUUGCUGAAAGGGAAGCGUUUGGAGUCAGAUGCAUCAAGUAUGUAAUACGGCUCAGUUGGCAGAGACUGAGAGUCAGUGACUUGAAGAUGGGCCAGCACUCACGUAGAUCAUUGGAGAAGGGGUCAUGGAAUGUAGCUCAAUUCUUGGGUGUUUAUAGCCUUGAUUCAUAUACAAUGUGUCUUAUGUGUGUUAAUUGACAGCACAAG
rnacentral:rRNA from 1 species